rnacentral:rRNA from 1 species
GAUGAACGCUAGCGAUAGGCUUAACACAUGCAAGUCGAGGGGCAGCAUGGUCUUAGCUUGCUAAGACUGAUGGCGACCGGCGCACGGGUGCGUAACGCGUAUGCAACUUGCCUCACAGAGGGGGAUAACCCGUCGAAAGACGGACUAAUACCGCGUACACUCCAUCUUGGGCAUCCAAGGUAGAGGAACUGAACUUCGCUGUGAGAUAGGCAUGCGUCCCAUUAGCUAGUUGGUGAGGUAACGGCUCACCAAGGCGACGAUGGGUAGGGGAACUGAGAGGUUGAACCCCCACACUGGUACUGAGACACGGACCAGACUCCUACGGGAGGCAGCAGUGAGGAAUAUUGGUCAAUGGGCGAGAGCCUGAACCAGCCAAGUCGCGUGAAGGAUGACUGUCUUAUGGAUGGUAAACUUCUUUUAUACGGGAAUAACAAGAGUCACGUGUGACUCCCUGCAUGUACCGUAUGAAUAAGCAUCGGCUAACUCCGUG